rnacentral:sRNA from 1 species
AAAACGUGAAGGAUAACGUUGCGUCAGCAACGGCCCGUAGGGCGAGGCGAAGCCGAGUCAUCCUGCACGACCCAUCA